CUUUGCCUGCGUCACACAGUACAUGACAAUGGGAUGCGCCUCCCUGUAUAUUCCUUAGAAGUAUUUAUCUCAUUCUACCUGUUCUGAUUGUCUAGUAAUUGCAAUGACCACAUUGGGCAGACCUACCACCCAAGUAAUUUGCACUAUUAUGUAGUCAUUAUUCAAACACAUCUUCUCCCUUAGGGGCAUAUCUCAACCUGCUAAUGAUCUGGCUAGCUAGCUUAACUGUCCGUAGACAGGAGUGUUUAGCUAAUUUCUGUUUCCAGGUGCUAGCUGCCUCUUUUUUGUUGUUUCAUCCUGAGUAUUUAACUCAGACUAAGACAGUGUACCACACAACCUCAAGUAAGGUUGUUUAUUUGUACAGUUUAGCAGGCCAGCUAACAACGUUGUCCUUUUCUGGUAUAGUUAGCAAUGCAAUUAACAUACACUAUUCUCACUGCUAGCAUUUCAGUUAGUGAAUAUAAACUCAACUUUCUCUGUUGAUUGUUUCUGUGAAAAACAAAUCACUAACUUGAUAGUCAUCAAUUGACAUUCAUGCCCUUGUGCACCCACUUUGCUAAAACUCAACCCAGCCCAAGGUGUUUGCAUCAUCUGACAUAUAACCUUAAAAGCAUUCUCCCUGUCCCCUUUUUCUUCUUUUGAAGAAAUAAACUGGUGACUCCAGUGCAGCCACUUGUGCCCCCCUUGGCAGCUCCAUUUACAGUCACUGAUCAUCUCCAAGUGCUCUACAGUAAACAGAAGCAGGCCAGCUGUCUGAGGAAAUAAUACAUAUAAUUGAGCAGGCAGUUAAACUGUGAAUAUCACCAGCCCUGCAAGCACUGGCACAUAUAAAGAUGAGGAUAACUACCUAUGGAGAGGUCAGCAAUACAACCAUCAUCAAACUUAUUGAAGAGUUUUUUAGCAACCAGAUCCUGAAUGGAACAGCCCAC